UAGGGAAUCUUCCACAAUGGACGCAAGUCUGAUGGAGCAACGCCGCGUGAGUGAAGAAGGCUUUCGGGUCGUAAAACUCUGUUAUUGAAGAAGAACGUGUGUGACAGUAACUAGUCAUGCAGUGACGGUAUUCAAUCAGAAAGUCACGGCUAACUACGUGCCAGCAGCCGCGGUAAUACGUAGGUGGCAAGCGUUGUCCGGAUUUAUUGGGCGUAAAGCGAGUGCAGGCGGUCUUUUAAGUCUGAUGUGAAAGCCUUCGGCUUAACCGAAGAAGGGCAUCGGAAACUGGGAGACUUGAGUGCAGAAGAGGAGAGUGGAACUCCAUGUGUAGCGGUGAAAUGCGUAGAUAUAUGGAAGAACACCAGUGGCGAAGGCGGCUCUCUGGUCUGUAACUGACGCUGAGGCUCGAAAGCGUGGGUAGCAAACAGGAUUAGAUACCCUGGGUAGUCCACGCCGUAAACGAUGAAUACUAAGUGUUGGAGGGCUUUCCGCCCUUCAGUGCUGCAGCUAACGCAUUAAGUAUUCCGCCUGGGGAGUACGACCGCAAGGUUGAAAC
rnacentral:rRNA from 1 species